ACGCGCGGUGUCCGAAACGCGCACGCCCCUGCCUCGGCGGGCGAGGGUGACUCGUCGCCCAGUCGCCAAGAGGCACCGAACCGCUCGGAACAGAGCAUCCAAUUUGGCCCCACCCCGCAAACCAGCUUGCCCGACUUGGCAACGGGGGUCUCCGAUUCGCAUCCCCUCGGCGACCAGUGGCCUCCUCCCGUCUUAAACCCCACGCGCCGCCUUUCCCCUUCCUCCCCAUCCCGCCCAUCGACUCGGCGCCUCGCCUUCUCCUCGUUCCCUUGCCUCGCGCCCUCGCCCAUGGCAGCGGCGCACCAGGUCUCGGCAGUGAUCUUUGAUCUGGACGGCACCCUCCUGGACACAGAGAGGGUGACAAGGGACAUCUUGAAUGAAUUCUUGGCGGCGUACGGGAAGGUCCCUGAUGCGGAGAAGGAAGAGAAGAGGUUGGGGCAGAUGUACAAGGAAUCUACUACCGGGGUCAUCGCAGACUACGGGCUGCCGCUGACUGUUGAGGAGUACUCGGAAGCGAUGCAUCCGCUGUACUUAAGAAGGUGGCAGAAGGCAAAACCGCUUCCAGGAGUGAAAAGGCUUGUCAAGCAUCUUCACAAGAAUGGAGUACCACUGGCACUUGCUUCAAACUCCAUCAGGAGAAAUAUUGAUCACAAACUCGCGAAACUAGAAGAUUGGGGAGACUGUUUUUCUGUUAUUCUCGGUGGUGAUCAGGUCCCUAAAGGAAAACCUUCCCCUGACAUAUUUCUGGAGGCUGCAAAGAGACUUGGUGUAAAUCCAUCGUCAUGCUUGGUCAUAGAAGAUUCUCUUGUUGGAGUUCAGGGUGCCAAGGCUUCUGGGGCAAAGGUGGUUGCAGUUCCAUCACUUCAAAGUCAAAGGCAACUCUAUUCAAUUGCCGAUGUUGUCCUCUAUUCACUCUUGGACUUCCAUCCUGAGCUGUGGGGUCUUCCUCCAUUUGAAGAUCGUAUCCAAGGUGCUUUGCCCAUUGAUCCAUUAUUCUCAAAUGUCCAAAUAGGCAAUGCAAUUUUAAACAAUCUUCAUAUGGUGCUAUCAGAUGACCGUACCUAUGAAUUUAUUCCUGACCAAAUAUCAGGAAUAUUUUUUGGUUGGGCCAAGUUCAAAGUGCAUGGAUUUUCUAAGGUGGUCAUCGGCAUUGGGUGGGACUUUUCACAGCAGAAUCCUGAAAGAGUGAUGGUACUUUUUAGGCUCAAAGCACAUAGAUUUUGUUGAUUCUUCUAGCAGGAUCAGAACAGAGCCCAUGGAGCUGCUUGUAACUGGUUACAUCCGGAAGCUCCAAAGCACAGAAAAUAUAUUGCAAGCUCUAAGUAUAACUGACGAAGACAGAAGAAUUGCAAGUGAUGCAUUGGACCUCCUAGCUUUCUCUGAAUGCGCAAAUGGCCUUCAUCUAACCUGAGUCCGGACGUAUCUUUGCAAGCUCUCACCUAAGGUUUGACAUUGUUUUGUUUAACAUGCAAACAAGAUGGCCGCUGCAGUUUUGUCCGUGAAAACAUAGAAGUAUGAAUUAUUGGAUUGUUCGUGGAGAAGGAAAAAGAACAGGUACAGCAGUAGUGAAGCUUGGUUGUCAUUCAAAGUCGAUCGAUGCUACCAUAGCUCGAACGUCUUGUGACAGCCUCAAGUUAGAGCAGAAACCGACAUAAAUUGUAGUAAUUGUUUCCGGUUCUAUUUCUAUAUCACUGCUUCUGUAUCCGCCUUAAGGGGCAUACUGAUCCAGAGCUUGUAAGCUGUGAUACCCCAGGUUUUAGCUAGUCUAUUAAGUGCUAAGCGGGA